rnacentral:rRNA from 1 species
UAGGGAAUCUUCCGCAAUGGACGCAAGUCUGACGGAGCAACGCCGCGUGAGUGAAGAAGGAUUUCGGUUCGUAAAACUCUGUUGUUAGAGAAGAACAGCGCAUAGAGUAACUGUUAUGCGUGUGACGGUAUCUAACCAGAAAGCCACGGCUAACUACGUGCCAGCAGCCGCGGUAAUACGUAGGUGGCAAGCGUUGUCCGGAUUUAUUGGGCGUAAAGCGAGCGCAGGCGGUCAAUUAAGUCUGAUGUGAAAGCCCCCGGCUCAACCGGGGAGGGUCAUUGGAAACUGGUUGACUUGAGUGCAGAAGAGGAGAGUGGAAUUCCAUGUGUAGGGGUGAAAUGCGUAGAUAUAUGGAGGAACACCAGUGGCGAAGGCGACUCUCUGGUCUGUAACUGACGCUGAGGUUCGAAAGCGUGGGUAGCAAACAGG